ensembl:lncRNA
GGAUGGUAUCGAUCAAGGUUUUCCACACAGGAGAACCCUCAGGGCUUCUUGCAAAACGUGCAGCAGGGUGUUAGGAACCUCCACCACAAAUGAAAAUGGAAACACACGUCUCGCAAGUUCACCUUCAGAUCUUCACAGUCCGUUGUAUGUCCAAUGUGAUUUGAAGGAUUUCCCUCCACAAUUCCUUAUCGGACCAAAGUCGAAUGCUAUUGUGUCUCUAUCGGAAAAGUUAUACUUCAAACCUUAAAAUCAAACACAUGGUCUUUACUUUGGGAUAAGACUGCUGUUUAAGGCCAGUGAGUAGAGCUCCUGACAGCUGAACACCAGUGCGUGUCCGAAGCCGCAUUCCCAAACUGUUGGAAUUCUUUAUUUGUCCUCGACCCAGACGCCGAAAGCUCUUCAAACAGGAUACGGAGGUAGAUGGCAAAGGAGAUUUGAAGUGAUAGCCCAUUUUAGAGAAGAGAAAGGCCCUAAUUGUCUCCGCUCCCCACAGCUCCCUCCCUGCGACAGCCUCGCAUGCCACUGGAGAAAGAAAAGGAGAAGAAAGCGGCUGAGAGAGAUAGAGUACGAGAAGAAAAAAAACGAGCAAGGGAGAGCGAGAGAGCUGGAGAGGACAGUUUCGCUGUGCAGCUGCUCCCGUGGAUGUUUUUGGAUUACAUCAGUGCUCUGCCAAAGAAAGGAGCGAAGGACAGAUAGACAAGGGAUCAGAGAGAGAAGGGAGCGGGGCACACUCCACAAAUCAGGGCUCUUAGUUUGGGAGGGGGGCCCCGGCUCGGUUCUUGGAGUUCUCUCGGACAGAGCUGUCAUUGUUAGAAGGUUGAAGUGGGUAAAGCCAGGGCUGAAUAGUGCAGCAGGCCCCCCUCGUCACCACCGUGCCCCCCCAUCUACAUCCUGACAACACAGCAGCAGCAACUCAACCUUGCCCUGUCAGCUGCCUGCGCCUGAGCCCCACGCCACGGCCCCGCGCCUGAGCUUGGCAUGCAGCUGAGAUUACAUUGCUCUGGGCACACACUCCUGCUUCGUCUUUGGAAUUAAUACUUACACAUCUCUGUUUGGGCAGCAGGCACAAGGCAUUGAGGCUGUCAAACAGAAAGAGAGAAAAGGGGGGACCAAGAAAUAUACAGAAGAGUGUAAAAGGGCUUUUUGUUGCUUUUAAACAUCAUUAGGUUUCACUUUCUAGUGUAGUUUCAAAAUGUUUUCAGGUGUUCUGGUGGUGGUUUUGGUUCUAUUACUGCUGUUUCGCAGGGUUUUAUGGCAUGUUAUCUGUCUUUUCAUUGGUGAUAAACUGUUCAGGAAAAAGCCAAGAGCCAGGAGAGAGAGGGACUUGUCAGAGUAGAAGUCACUUUGAGGACAGUAUGUUUUUUUUUAAUGCAUCAUCUUGAAUGUAAUUUAGGACAAAUUUGAGCAAAAGUUUAAUUUUUCCAUUCACAAUCUUUUUGAAUACUCCUACUAAUCAUCAUCAUCAUCCCCCCAGGUGGGCACACAGUGGCUUAGUGGUUAGCAUGUUUGCCUCACACCGACAGGGUUGGGGGUUCGAUUCCCGCCGCUACCCUGUGUGUGCAGUGUUUGCAUGUUCUCCCCGUGCUGUGGGGGUUUCCUCUGGGUACUCUGGUUUCCUCCCCCAGUCCAAAGACAUGCAGGGUAGGCUGUUUGGCAUGUACAAAGUGUCCACUGUGUAUAAGUGGGUGUUUGACUGUGUAUGUAUGCCCUGCGAUGGAUUGGCAACCUGUCCAGGGUGUACCCUGCCUUAUGCCCGGCUCCAGGUUCCCCACAACACUGAAGGAUAAGCUGUAUAGAAGAUGGAUGGAUCAUCACAGAUUGUGAUUUCAUGUUGCUUAAUAAUUUGUACACCUUUUAAACAAUCAGAUGAAAUGAUGAAACAAGCCACUGAGAUUAAAGGCUGAUGUGGUUCCCAGAAACAUUUAGAGAUGGCUUCCUUAAUGAACUCACUUUAGUGGUAAAGAUAAUGGUUAAAUAAAUCACUGAGAAUAUAACAAAAAAGCAUAUCAAAACGUGUAUUUGAUAUGGGCUGGUUUACUAGCAGUUAGAUAGUCUGCUAGCUAAAUUAGCAACUAUUUGUUUUAUUUUUAUAUGUGGAAUGACAGAACGACACAGGAUUUUUCCAAUAUUCAUAUUCAUACAUCCUGGCAUUUUAAUUUUAAUAGGAGCUCAUUUGUCAUUAGGUUGUUUUUGUAGCUUAUUAUUAGGAAUACAUAAUUCUACACAGAAUAAUACAAUUUAUUGACUCUAUAAUAAUUUAUAUUGUACUCAUGGGUGUUUUAAAAUACAUCUUAUAUCUCUUGAAGCUCACUCUGUCACAAGUCCUGAAGUCUUGCUGUCUUAUAUGUGUGAUAUGCUUUAAAUGCAAAUCAUUGUAAUUUCUUGUUGGCACUAAAUAAAUAAUAAUAAAUGCAUUUAAAA